rnacentral:lncRNA from 1 species
CUUUCUCACUACCAGAAGCAGCUGAAGGCGAAAAGAAACCGAUACAGCUCAUCUACAUACAGCUCGGCCCUCUACCCCAGCGGCGGCUGUUUAUUUUAAACCGUGAGUUUUUUAGUUAUUGCUUGAAAUACACUAACACGUGAAACUUCUGAUGUUAUUUAAAUUAUGUUAUGAAAGAUUUUGAAAGAAUCUACUAACAGAUUUCUUUGUUUUGCACUUGCUUUUAAAUCAUCCAUGGCUGCAAGUGUAAUUUGUUUGCAAAAUUAUGUAGCGGACCUUUUAGCAUUUGCAUUUCUAGAUAAAUCAGAAUGAUGAUUUAUUGCCUGUUCUGUGUAACGUAUGAUUGCUUGUUCAAGUACCAAAGCUGAUAUAACACAUUAUGGAGACUUUAUUUAUAAUUAUGCGUCCAUUUCUUCUUGUUGAAUGAACUUGAACCCAAUAUUUUUGUAAUUUUGGCCUACUGGUUUCGGCUACAUUUUUUGUCUGUAGUUUCUAGAUACUGUGUCGCAUUAAGUUUUUUCAUGAUGUUUUUGUUGGUAUUGUUAGAGUAUCAAGGUCAGUUCUCACUGUAUAUUUCCACACAAUAAUAUUCCCUUUAAUCUGGCUUUACAAUUUGUGUAGAAUUGUUCCUGUUUGUGGCUGAUUGAUGUACAUAUUCAAUUUUGUUGCAUAUGACUAGCGCAUGUGUCUAGUUGCAAGGAAAAAUACAACGGCUAUUUGAAUCAAAGCCCAAAUUCCUAGAUGGUAUAAUCCUUGGUGAAGCAAAAUAGCUUCUAUUCCAUUUGGGUUGGUUCCAUAUUGCAGUACAGUUUUCCUCAAUGGUGGAAAGCUGGUUGCUAAAUGGAUCUAUCUGAAUUGCUUUGAGUAUCAGAAACUUCUGGGUAGAGAUUUUGCUCUUGGUUGCAGUUAUUGGCUGAUUAAUUCAUUUGGCAGCUAGGUAUAUGCAUUCGAGUUCGUGAAAAUUUUGAGAACAGCAUUUCCAUCCUUAAAUUGUCCGACCUACUGAAGACAAUCAUUUGGAUAUUAAUCAAGUUUAUGCAAGUCAGUGGUGUCCCAUGAACUUUCUUUUUGCCAAUGAAGAAGUGAAUAAGAUUUGCCUUCAAUUUCAACAUGUGUAAUGGUAAUUAGCUCCAAAAUUCUUGGAUAUAUAAUCUUAUCUUUCCUCCCCAUAAUACGGAGUAUGCUUUAAGCAGAUACUGAUUCCUGAUACGCUUUGUUUAUGGAUUGAAUUUUAAUAUCAGAGACAACUAUUCACACGGGGAACAUUGAUUGGAAGUAUUGAUUAGUUAAACGAUCUUUCUUUCACAAUCUGUACAAUCUCUGUGGAAAAACCUUCUUUCUAGUGAUUGCUAUAUAUUUUGUAGUUGGGGGUUUUGAAUUUAUAUGUGAGCAGCUCAGUUUACAAAGUAUGCUUUAUUGCAGAUUUACAAAUACUUUGAUAUAUCAAAUUAUUAGAUUCUUUAUGAUUUGUUCGUUAUUCUAGUAAUUUAGAUGAACUGUAUCUUUAUGUUCAGUGUAAGGGUGGUCCAAC